rnacentral:rRNA from 1 species
AUUGAGCGCUGGCGGCAUGCCUUACACAUGCAAGUCGAACGGCAGCGCGGGAGCAAUCCUGGUGGCGAGUGGCGAACGGGUGAGCAAUAUAUCGGAACGUGCCCAGUCGUGGGGGAUAACGUAGCGAAAGCUACGCUAAUACCGCAUACGAUCUAUGGAUGAAAGCGGGGGAUCGCAAGACCUCGCGCGAUUGGAGCGGCCGAUAUCAGAUUAGGUAGUUGGUGGGGUAAAGGCUCACCAAGCCGACGAUCUGUAGCUGGUCUGAGAGGACGACCAGCCACACUGGGACUGAGACACGGCCCAGACUCCUACGGGAGGCAGCAGUGGGGAAUUUUGGACAAUGGGCGCAAGCCUGAUCCAGCAAUGCCGCGUGCAGGAUGAAGGCCUUCGGGUUGUAAACUGCUUUUGUACGGAACGAAACGGCGAGCUCUAAUACAGUUUGCUAAUGACGGUACCGUAAGAAUAAGCACCGGCUAACUACGUGCCAGCCGCCGCCGUAA